rnacentral:rRNA from 1 species
GAUGAACGCUGGCGGCGUGCCUAAUACAUGCAAGUCGAGCGAACAGACGAGGAGCUUGCUCCUCUGACGUUAGCGGCGGACGGGUGAGUAACACGUGGAUAACCUACCUAUAAGACUGGGAUAACUUCGGGAAACCGGAGCUAAUACCGGAUAAUAUAUUGAACCGCAUGGUUCAAUAGUGAAAGACGGUUUUGCUGUCACUUAUAGAUGGAUCCGCGCCGCAUUAGCUAGUUGGUAAGGUAACGGCUUACCAAGGCAACGAUGCGUAGCCGACCUGAGAGGGUGAUCGGCCACACUGGAACUGAGACACGGUCCAGACUCCUACGGGAGGCAGCAGUAGGGAAUCUUCCGCAAUGGGCGAAAGCUUGACGGAGGAACGCCGCGUGAGUGAUGAAGGUCUUCGGAUCGUAAAACUCUGUUAUUAGGGAAGAACAAAUGUGUAAGUAACUAUGCACGUCUUGACGGUACUUAAUCAGAAAGCCACGGCUAACUACGUG